rnacentral:rRNA from 1 species
CCUACGGGAGGCUGCAGUGGGGAAUAUUGCACAAUGGGCGCAAGCCUGAUGCAGCCAUGCCGCGUGUGUGAAGAAGGCCUUCGGGUUGUAAAGCACUUUCAGCGGGGAGGAAGGCGGUGAGGUUAAUAACCUCAUCGAUUGACGUUACCCGCAGAAGAAGCACCGGCUAACUCCGUGCCAGCAGCCGCGGUAAUACGGAGGGUGCAAGCGUUAAUCGGAAUUACUGGGCGUAAAGCGCACGCAGGCGGUCUGUCAAGUCGGAUGUGAAAUCCCCGGGCUCAACCUGGGAACUGCAUUCGAAACUGGCAGGCUAGAGUCUUGUAGAGGGGGGUAGAAUUCCAGGUGUAGCGGUGAAAUGCGUAGAGAUCUGGAGGAAUACCGGUGGCGAAGGCGGCCCCCUAGACAAAGACUGACGCUCAGGUGCGAAAGCGUGGGGAGCAAACAGGAUUAGAUACCCCUGUAGUC